rnacentral:rRNA from 1 species
GACGAACCGUCCAAGCGUUGUUCGGAAUCACUGGGCUUAAAGGGCGCGUAGGCGGGUUCCCAAGUCGGUGGUGAAAUCUUUCGGCCCAACCGGAAAAGUGCCGCCGAUACUGGGGAGCUCGAGGGAGGUAGGGGUCGAGGGAACUUCCGGUGGAGCGGUGAAAUGCGUAGAUAUCAGGAGGAACACCAAUGGCGAAGGCAGCACUCUGGGCCGUGACUGACGCUGAGGCGCGAAAGCGUGGGGAGCAAACAGG